AGCUGGAAGAUGGGGAAAGGCGAAAAAUGUAGGAGAGAUAUUUGAAGCCUUUUUGCUAAGUCUUACAGGAAAUAAUGGCGUAAGAUGCUGCGUCACUGCAAACUCAAGGUGAUUCUCGUUCAAAAAUGGCACAUGCUGGUUAGAAAAUAUCAAGUUAGAAGAGCAACGACGGGAAUAACGGUAGAGGAUUUUAAAGCAUCUACCCUUUCCUGUCUGAUAUAUGUCCAUGUUUUAUCAAGUUGACUUCAAUUGUGUAAUGGUUCAGGGUUGGUUCAGGGUCUUACUAUAUUUUGUUGUGGUGGGAGACUUUGAUUUUCACAGUAUCCUGUUUACGCAAUUUAAAGAACAUGGAUGCUAGGGUGGCAUGUUUUCAACUACGUAUAGCACCAUGUGUUUGUUGAUUAGAGUUUCAAUGAUCGUAAAGGAGAAGUGGCCCUUUAUUUUUUGUUGCCUUUCCUGGUCGACUCAUUUGUUUAUGUUACACAAGGAAUUAAGCAUUGAAGCUGAAUUUUUUUGAGAACUUCAUGGAUUUCAGUGGCUAAAAUCUGCAUGCUCUAAAAUUAUAUCAAGCUCUUAGGCCAUUCACUCUUUUUAUUCUUUUCUUUCAUUUCACAGUUAUCCUAUGUUUUCUAUCUUCACAUGUAGUUUUCUUGAAAUGUGCCUUCACAUGUAUUUGGACACAAAUGUUGGAUUUCCUAAUUACUUCAAUAGGUUUUUAAAACGCCAAGACUUUUCGUCCAUCUUAAAUCUUCUGUUGUGUGACGUCCUCCUGAUUUUUCCAGAUUAUUGGUUCUUUUUCUUCAAAUAUCCAAAUUUUCUAUGCCGAACUUAAUGGAAGGAGCACUGAAAUAUAGAUCAAACUCCAAAGCAGCUGCCUGAAGCUAUUCUAGCUAUGGUGAAGGCGCCUCCGUGUUUAAAUAUCUGUGGGCACCAAAUCUCCAGCCUGUGUUGUCCCAGAUCAAGAAGUAUAUUUAGAGAAAAUGGAAAAGAUGUGGGCUAUUCCUGUCUCUGCUUUUAAGGUAAAUGCAUUACAAUGUUACAUAGAUUGAAAACAAUCAGACAGCACCGAAUCCAAUCUUCUUUUUUAUUUUUUUCACAUCUCUGGUUGCAUGAUUUCUCAAAAAGAAAAAAAAAAAAAACAAACUCACUCUUCUCUAGCUACCUCAUUUCUGUUGGCUGUUGCUGAUCUCUAGUCAAAUUCUUGAUAUCUAUUAACUAUGCCAACUUCAACAUCAGCAGCCUCAAAUAUGUAAUCGGGGUAUCCUCUAAGGUGGCAGCGGGCAAUGUAUUGACCCGGAUUCCUAGGUCACUCGACUAAAUCUACACGAAACCAUCCAUGAGCAUCUCUUUUUAUUCUCCUUCCCCCCCUUCAAGAUUUUUGAGCUUAAGACCAAUACGUGUAAACGGCUCGUAGCAUAACCACGGACAUGUCUCGGGACUAAUAAAUAUAUUGUGUCCAACUGCACCGCUAGAGCUGUGCUUGGAAAACAAAAAUCCUAAAUAAAACUUCUCUUGGAAAAUCGUACAAAAAUCCUUUCUUAUGCAAGAAAAAUAUUAACGAGUGUCCGAGUUUUAUAUAUAGAUGAGUAGUUGCGAAUGUUUAAUGUGCAAACUCUAUGUAUAUUGUUUAAGAGGAGCCUCAGUACGACUUUUCCUUGAUUAAUUAAUUAUACUGUACCGGUGCACAGUCAUGGUCGCAAACUAAAGCAACAUGAAACCAUAUGGGAUGCUUAAAAUGUGACAGGCACUGCAAACAUAUUUUAAAAUUUUCUAGAACUAUCUUCAAAUUAAGUUUCUUUAAAAUCAACUUCAAAAGAAUUGAAUACAUGCUUACAAGAGAAACAUGUGCCAAACCAAUAGUUUUGGCUAAGAACCCAAAAAUGCAUUUCUUGUCUUGGUUAUGAGAAACGCCAUGGAGCUUCUAUCAUGUGCAUACAAACAAAAAAAACCAUGCUAUAUAAAGAGAUUGAAAGGUAUAACUUGCGAGAAUUAUUUCGAUAUAUGAAGUAUUGGUUGAUUAUUCAACUACUAAAUUGGAUUUUUUAUGUCCAACGAACUCAUUUUGUGUGCAUAUCAUUGGCGCCCUGAAAUAUUUUUCUCUAGAGAUUGCUUUGUAUUCUAUGGGUUACACUCUAAACUUAAUUAAGCAAGAAAGUGGAGACUUAAAGAUGAGGCACAUGAGUCGCAGGAGUCCAAGCUUCUACGAACUAAUUCAAAUUGUGGGCAUAUUUAUCUGGUAAAGAAAUGUCUACAGGCUUUUAAUGUAGUUAUAUAUGUUGUCUACAUGGAGUAUUUUUAGUAUUUAUGAUCUCGAUAAACAGCCUAUAGGCAUAUUAAUAUUAGUUUUUAUCUCCUUAUGAAGUGCUUUGAAAUAUGCAGCGAUUAAGGGCUUUGGAAUUGGACUGGGUAGCCGUUACGAAUUGAUAGAUUCAAUUGGCAAUCUGAAACACCUGCGCUAUUUGUACAUUGAUUAUGGGUCAGGGUUCCCUGGAUCAUUACGUUUCCUUUACAACCUGCAGACACUGGAUCUCACAUCUUCAAGUCUUGCAGAGUUGCCAAAGGCCUAGAAAAUGUCGUAUAAUUGUUCAUUCUUUCAUAAUAUGUUUGAUUAGAGGCUUUAAAUCUGUGUUCCAUUUUAUUUGCUGACAUUCUGACCAUAUCAAACAUCAACGAGAUCAGAAACCAUGGCGUCGACAAUUUUACCAACCUUGAACAUCUUUGUGUAAAGGACAGUGUUGUGCUGGAUUCUCAAACAAACGAGUCGCUACCAUUGUAAACCCCGGACCAGAUGGACCGGCUUGGACCAAAGUCGGCGGUCCAUCUGGUGGUUUCGGGAGUAAAGCGGUGGAGAACCUCAGCUGUUGAGGCAGUUAAAACUGCCUAACAGCCGCGGUCCCCCACCCCUCCGAGCUGGAUGAAGAGCUACAAAAGCCCUGGAGUCCGCUGUAUGGGACUCCAUCGCCACCCUCUCACCUCCCUUACUCUCUUUUCCUCUGUGCAAGGAGUCGGACCGAGAGCUGUGGUGCCGGAGGGGGAAGGAUUCCCAGCUCGCCACCUUGUUGUGCCGCCGGAGCAGACAGAGGAGCUCGCCGGAAUCCUCCACGGCUCAUCGGAGCUAGGUAAUUGAAGAAUUGGCACUCAAACCUAAGUUUGGUGGGCGAAUUAAGAUGAAUAGGAGAUGAUAGGAACAAGGAGCGUAACAUGCUCCAGGGUUAUGGGAAAGACGAAUGUUAAAUGUAGAUAAUGUUUUUAGAAGCUUUGUAUGCAUUUUAAUACAUGAACAUUUAAUGACUUUCAUGAAUAUAGUUGUUUACAAUUUGAAGUUUUAAA